UACGAAGGGGGCUAGCGUUGUUCGGAAUCACUGGGCGUAAAGCGCACGUAGGCGGAUUCUUAAGUCAGGGGUGAAAUCCCGAGGCUCAACCUCGGAACCGCCUUUGAUACUGGGGAUCUCGAGUCCGGGAGAGGUGAGUGGAAUUGCGAGUGUAGAGGUGAAAUUCGUAGAUAUUCGCAAGAACACCAGUGGCGAAGGCGGCUCACUGGCCCGGUUCUGACGCUGAGGCGCGAAAGCGUGGGGAGCAAACAGG
rnacentral:rRNA from 1 species